GUGGGCAAUUGGGUAUUCCUUUGCAAACCUGAAGCUGCGAGUGCUUGGUCCGAGUUUGGCAAGUUGGUGUUUCUUAACUAUGAAAGUCUGAUAUGCGUCCUCCCCUAAACUUCUGUUAGAACGGUGGGAAACAUUGCUCCCGUGAGAACGGUAUAGUGGACUUCAUCGCCACUGACCCACAUUUAUUAGGGUGUGACACGAACUUGUGGACAGAGUACCGAGCUGCUGCUUUGCCAGGUGGAUUUCUGGCUGCGGGCAAAGGACCCGACACAUCAGUGUGUUUUAAUUUGUUUUAAACUGGUGUAAGCCGACAGACUGACUGCUGCGGCUGUCGAUGGUUUUGUUUUUUUGUUUUACUUUUUCUGUAUCAGUAGGCACCACAGAUAUUGAUUCGCAGGCGGUGAAGGCGCUGCAGGGAAAACAAAUCCUUUUUUUGUCUCCCCGCUCUUGCAUGCACAGCGGGGGGCCCGAGUGAAGACGGCACCGAAGAUUUGCCUUUUUUUUGUAUAGUGUUUUACCCAUUUGGGGUCAUGUGUGAGUUGCCGUCCAUUUUUAACCUGUGUGCUAUGUCGAUUUGUUUUUAAACUGUUCCCCGCAGCGCUUGUCCUGCCUCACGGGCAAUCGUACAGUUUUAUAGUUUUUUUAAUAAGGUAACGUUUUUAAUUGUUUUUAGGUGCUGCUGUUACACUGUUUCUUUUAUUUUGUAUUAAAAAUUAAACUCUUUUAAACUGACUGUGCGCCUACGGCUCUGUCCUAUUUUAAAUAGGUACCUACCACGGGUCACAAACUGGCGUUGUCGACAGGAUGAGCCUCUAGGUGUGCACAGCGAUUAGUCAGUUGGUUUGUGUAAAAUUUUUAUUUUUAUGGGUGUGUGUUUUAAACUGUUUUAUAUUUGUAUUUAUUUAUUUAUUUUUGGCAAAGCAGCAGCUGGUAAAUCCUGGUGGUAACAAAGUGUAAUCUGCAUUUAAACACAGUAGGCACUUACUGUUGAGGGUUUUUAUUUUUUUAUUAUGGAGUCCCAAUCAGGCAUUUCUAGCCCCUGUAGACCUCAUGACUCUACCCCUAUGGAGGGCUCUCUCCAAGAGAGGCUGGUUUAUAUCCCUAGAGAGAGGUCGUGCCCCCUGUUUAGUGGAACUGGGGAAAUUAGUGUCCAAAGUUGGGUGGAGGAAAUAAAAUCUGUAAUGCGCACUCGUAGACUUGCCCC
ensembl:lncRNA